GGCGCACGGGUGCGUAACGCGUGGGAACCUGCCCUUAGGUUCGGAAUAACUCCUCGAAAGGGGUGCUAAUACCGGAUAAUGUCUUCGGACCAAAGAUUUAUCGCCUUUGGAUGGACCCGCGUUGGAUUAGCUAGUUGGUGGGGUAAAGGCCUACCAAGGCGACGAUCCAUAGCUGGUCUUAGAGGAUGAUCAGCCACACUGGGACUGAGACACGGCCCAGACUCAUACGGGAGGCAGCAGUGGGGAAUAUUGGACAAUGGGCGAAAGCCUGAUCCAGCAAUGCCGCGUGAGUGAUGAAGGCCUUAGGGUUGUAAAGCUCUUUUACCCGGGAUGAUAAUGACAGUACCGGGAGAAUAAGCCCCGGCUAACUCCGUGCCAGCCGCCGCGG
rnacentral:rRNA from 1 species